GUGACGUAUAACAGCGGCGUCCUUUGCAGCACGACGUCCCGGAAGUGCUGCGGCAAUGUUGCUCUUGGAGAUAGCUGGCGUUAGGGAUCCGCCUUCUCUCCCAGAGGCGGGGCAGGUUUCUGUUUGGUUGCCGCCCUAACGGCCAGAACUAAAGCACCUUGCAAGGAAUGAAGUUGGUUCUUGAAGUCCGUGCUGACUGGCUGGGCGCAUUUGCGCAUUUGCUUCUCUGGCUGCAAAAUGGCCCGCAACAGCACUCACUAAUUUGUUGCUAACUUCAGGAACUGUGCGGACAGGUCUCUGAGGCUUCUGAGCCGCGCUAUGUCCAGUAGAUCUGGGCGCCUCAGAACCUGUCACAGCCGACGGAAGCGUUUAUCUGAGUUUCUUGUUUCUUCCCAACCUUUUGAUUUUCGCACCAUUACGCGCUCAACUAUGCCUCUUCUUUUGUCCUAUGGUCUCAACUAAUUAAAGGAAGAAAAGCAAUGCAUGUCCCUUUAUAUUUGACAUCAGCUUCCCCCACAUUCUCCAAAGCUUCUCUCACAAAUAAAGCCAGGUGCUCAGGCUGAGAAGAUUCAAGGAAAGGGUUCCUCACGUAGUUAUACAGUUGUGUUCCAGGGGAAGGAAAAUAUUGUUCGGUUUUGUUCUGCAAUUCCCCACGGUGGUUUUCGGUCAGAAAUUAAGGAGCAGCUUAG
rnacentral:lncRNA from 1 species